GAUCUAUGACCAUGGUCAUACCAACCAUAGUGGUCCUAAUAGAUAUCUAUAGUCACGACAUUACUUAGCUACGGGUGACCCUCUACAGAUAAUGCGAUACCACUAUCAUCAGAGGGUAUGCUAUCAUCCAUUGAGAGCAGUCCUUUUACGUAUUUCCAUAUUAGAUUGGGGAGGGAAAAACAGAUACCACAAAGGGCAAGGGGAACAGAUACCCUUUAGUGAUAAAAAGCCUAACGAGACACUUG
rnacentral:lncRNA from 1 species